AUUCACACCAGUGACCUGCUGGAGGUCAUUUUGUAGCUCUGGCAGUGCUCAUCUUGUUCUUCCUGGCACAAAGAAGCCGAUACCUGCCCUGCUGAUGAGUUAAGGAUCUUCUCUGUCCCUGUCCAGCUCUUCUAGAGUAAAAACCUAUCUCCCGGAUUCUCCUCCAUGCUCUUGAGAUUGUGCUGGGACACAGCAAACCUUCUGACAAUAACACGUAUCCUGGAUGAGAUGAACUGCCUGUGCAACCUCUGUAUCCAUAUCGCCUCAUGCUACCAGCAGCCAAAUGCAAAACUAGUGAACAAACAGUAAGAAAAGAUGAGAAGGGAAAAGUGUCCCCCACAUGUGAAACCAUUAUCUCUCAUUGCUGCCCUUGUAGUGCACCUGUCGUCAAUUUCAUUAACACUAAAGCAGAUGAAACUGAUCAACAUCCCCCCUCUGGUACUUACAGCUGAACAGAUCAGUUUAACUAACUUGAUGCUGUACUCUGAUUAAAAACUGUUCCUUGCGAUUGUACUCAUAGUCUUUCCUUUCUCCCAUAGGUUCACAGGAAGGAAUAUGUUCAGAAAAAGAAACGGGAAGUGACAUCCAAAAUAUUUUAAUAGGAGUUCUUAUCAUGACGAACAUCAUUGUCCCCAUGGCAAUUUAUCUGUACAUGCGUAACCAGAUUCAGCAGAUUCCAAACUUGAGGGAAGAAGUAAGAAUGACAGAGAUGCAGCAAAACACAUUUCCCAGGGAUGUUGAAGAGGGUUCCAUUUUAUUAACGACGCCCGAGAGUUCCAUCAUCAUAAAUUCACCUGAAAACACCAUAAUUUAAAGCCCUUGCCCAAAUAGAACACACCAUUAGAAGUUCUGAGCUGCUGAGAAUCUGGAUAAAUCUGGAUACGAGGAUCUGCCUUACACAGAUCUGGACUUACACAGUCCAGGUGAAGUAAAGGUGGUCUGUGAAGGCCUAUGCGCCUAAAGGUGGAUAAGCUUCCAAUGUGAAGAAGAGUGGGACCAAACAAGCCACAGCAUGCCUGUUCAUGUAACUGCUCUGCAGUCGCACAUCAAGAUUGUUUUCUGUCCGCCUCAUGCAAAAUGUUUUACUGCUGUGCUGGUUUUAAGUGACCAAGGUCUUACCAGAAGAAGUGCACUGCAGAAAAUCUGUUUUAACACGAACAAUAACGAGUUGGUUUUUUGUCAUAUUUAGAAUAAUUUUAAACACAAAGACACAGAUUAUGCGUGUAGUCAGUAAACAUAUAUAUGUGUGUGUCUCUGUGUGUUAAAGUGUUCCACUGUGCAGACUACUAUAUUUAGUGUGACUGCGAAAGAAAAAAGUUACGUUUUUAUGGCUAAUGGACUAAUUGCCUCUGUUCAUGUGUGCAUAUUUGGGGAAAGGUUUGGUGGCUUUUUUUCUAUUCCUUGUAUGUAUUAAGUAUGUUGUGAUAAAGCUUCAGCUGAAAAGCUAAAAGUGCCUAAAAAAAAUUAAAUAUUAUAAUUUUUUUAUUGCACAAUGCACAUUAAGCGAAGCCACCAUAAAAAAUUGAGCUUUUACCUUUUUCUAAGCCAGCUGUGCUAGCUUUACCCCUAAAAUGUGAUCUUAUCUGUUAACAGUUGUUCUAGAUAAGUUCUCACUGUACAGUCUUCAUACAUCCAUCGAAUGUGUUUGUGUUUCAUGGAAGUAUAAAUAGAAAAGUCCCUACCACAA